UUUUUCUUUUAAAAGUAUUAUCUCUAUGUUGUAGCCGUAUGAGACGAGCCGGUUACUGUAGUGCAGUAGGAGUGAGUUGCGAUUCUGACUUGGCUUGUUGUUCUAAAAAGUGUGCGUACGGAAAGUGCUUUUAAUGGAUGGUUUAGCAGCUUUGGAGAAAACGGAGUUAACAGUCAUCAUCUGGAUUUAUUAUGUAGUGGAUUAAAUAAAAAUUGCCAUCAAAAUUU
rnacentral:lncRNA from 1 species